rnacentral:rRNA from 1 species
AGAUUGAACGCUGGCGGCAGGCCUAACACAUGCAAGUCGAGCGGUAGAGAGGUGCUUGCACCUCUUGAGAGCGGCGGACGGGUGAGUAAUGCCUAGGAAUCUGCCUAGUGGUGGGGGAUAACGUUCGGAAACGGACGCUAAUACCGCAUACGUCCUACGGGAGAAAGCGGGGGACCUUCGGGCCUCGCGCCAUUAGAUGAGCCUAGGUCGGAUUAGCUAGUUGGUGAGGUAAUGGCUCACCAAGGCGACGAUCCGUAACUGGUCUGAGAGGAUGAUCAGUCACACUGGAACUGAGACACGGUCCAGACUCCUACGGGAGGCAGCAGUGGGAAUAUUGGACAAUGGGCGAAAGCCUGAUCCAGCCAUGCCGCGUGUGUGAAGAAGGUCUUCGGAUUGUAAAGCAUUUAAGUUGGAGGAAGGUUGUAACUUAAUACGUUGCAACUUUGACGUUACCGACAGAAUAAGCACGGCUAACUCGUGCCAGCAGCCG